rnacentral:rRNA from 1 species
CCUACGGGUGGCUGCAGUGGGGAAUUUUGGACAAUGGGCGAAAGCCUGAUCCAGCAAUGCCGCGUGCAGGAUGAAGGCCUUCGGGUUGUAAACUGCUUUUGUACGGAACGAAAAGGCUCUGGCUAAUACCUGGGGCACAUGACGGUACCGUAAGAAUAAGCACCGGCUAACUACGUGCCAGCAGCCGCGGUAAUACGUAGGGUGCGAGCGUUAAUCGGAAUUACUGGGCGUAAAGCGUGCGCAGGCGGUUUUGUAAGACAGAGGUGAAAUCCCCGGGCUCAACCUGGGAACUGCCUUUGUGACUGCAAAGCUGGAGUGCGGCAGAGGGGGAUGGAAUUCCGCGUGUAGCAGUGAAAUGCGUAGAUAUGCGGAGGAACACCGAUGGCGAAGGCAAUCCCCUGGGCCUGCACUGACGCUCAUGCACGAAAGCGUGGGGAGCAAACAGGAUUAGAUACCCCAGUAGUC